UCACAGAGAAUAAAGGGACACUUACUUCAUUUACUUUGAGGAGCACAUCCAAAUCUGGAUCUCUCAUCACCAUUCCAGUAGAUGAAGAAGUCAUUGCAAACACUGAAUCCGAAGAAGAUGGACAAACAUUCUCAAUUGAAGUAAAAAUGUCAUUCCCAAGUGACCAAAAGAGAUGCUAUGUUUUGGUAUGUUCCAAUUGUGGACAAGAAGUCCGUUAUCCAAUCAUCAUAAAAAUUCAUUGUAUGAAUUGCAACCAACAUAAGAUGCUCAUCCCCAGGUGUCGAUUUGAUGUAAAUCUCAAAGAUAGCUCUGGCUCAACAACUGGGAUGAUUAUGAACAAAGAAGGAGAAAAACUAUUAUCCCUAACUGCAGAACAAAUUUAUGAAAGAGCUUCCACUAAGGUA